rnacentral:rRNA from 1 species
UACAGAGGUCUCAAGCGUUGUUCGGAUUCAUUGGGCGUAAAGGGUGUGUAGGUGGCUCGCUAAGUCGGGUGUGAAAUUUCGGAGCUUAACUCCGAAACUGCAUUCGAUACUGGCGUGCUUGAGGACUGGAGAGGAGACUGGAAUUUACGGUGUAGCAGUGAAAUGCGUAGAUAUCGUAAGGAAGACCAGUGGCGAAGGCGGGUCUCUGGACAGUUCCUGACACUGAGACACGAAGGCCAGGGGAGCAAACGGG